rnacentral:rRNA from 1 species
AAUGAACGCUGGCGGCGUGCCUAACACAUGCAAGUCGUACGAGAAAGGGGCUUCGGCCCUGAGUAGAGUGGCGCACGGGUGAGUAACGCGUGGGUAAUCUGCCCUUGGAUUUGGAAUAACUCCGCGAAAGUGGAGCUAAUACCGGAUAGUCUGGCUUUUUAACGAAGUCGGUAAAGGAUGCCUCUGCAUAUGCAUUCGUCCGAGGAUGAGCCCGCGUCUCAUUAGCUAGUUGGUAGGGUAAUGGCCUACCAAGGCAACGAUGAGUAGCUGGUCUGAGAGGAUGAUCAGCAACACUGGAACUGAAACACGGUCCAGACUCCUACGGGAGGCAGCAGUGGGGAAUAUUGCGCAAUGGGCGAAAGCCUGACGCAGCAACGCCGUGUGAGGGAUGAAGGCUUUCGGGUCGUAAACCUCUGUCAGAAGGGAAGAACGGGCAUUGGUCUAAUAGGCCUUUGUUUUGACGGUACCUUCAGAGGAAGCACCGGCUAACUCCGUGCCAGCCGCCGCCGUAAAAC